rnacentral:rRNA from 1 species
AGUGAACGCUGGCGGUAGGCCUAACACAUGCAAGUCGAACGGCAGCACAGUAAGAGCUUGCUCUUACGGGUGGCGAGUGGCGGACGGGUGAGGAAUACAUCGGAAUCUACUUUUUCGUGGGGGAUAACGUAGGGAAACUUACGCUAAUACCGCAUACGACCUACGGGAGAAAGCAGGGGAUCUUCGGACCUUGCGCGAUUGAAUGAGCCGAUGUCGGAUUAGCUAGUUGGCGGGGUAAAGGCCCACCAAGGCGACGAUCCGUAGCUGGUCUGAGAGGAUGAUCAGCCACACUGGAACUGAGACACGGUCCAGACUCCUACGGGAGGCAGCAGUGGGGAAUAUUGGACAACGGGCGCAAGCCUGAUCCAGCCAUACCGCGUGGGUGAAGAAGGCCUUCGGGUUGUAAAGCCCUUUUGUUGGGAAAGAAAAGCAGCAGGUUAAUACCCCGCUGUUCUGACGGGACCCAAAGAAUAAGCACCGGCUAACUUCGUG